rnacentral:rRNA from 1 species
AUGGCCUUGAAGAAGCGAGAGUUUCACAACUUGCGCCAAGGAGGACGGACAGUUGGCCAGUAUGUGGAGGACUUUAGUAAAUUAGCACGUUAUGCCCCAGAUGACGUUGCUACGGAUGCAGCUAAGCAGAAAAAGUUUCUAGAAGGACUGAAUGAUGAGUUGAGCAUGCAGUUGAUGGUAGCAACCUUCAACAACUACCAGGAGUUGGUAGAUCGUGCUCUUAUGAUUGAAGGGAAGCAACAGCAAAUUGAAAAUCACAAGAGGAAAUAUGCACAAGGAAAGUACAAUUCAGGAGCUCAGCAGAAGCCACGAUUUAUCCCUAGAUCGGGAGGACAUUUUCAGCAUACUCAUGGAGGAGGUACCUCGCACAAUCACAAUGGCACCAAGAAUGGUAAUGGUAAUGGAGGAAGCAACGACCAGAACCGUACCAACCCAUCAACCCCAGCCAAAAAAGACCUGAGCCAAGUCACUUGCUUUAAGUGUCAGAAGACCGGACAUUAUGCCAAUGAAUGUUCUGAAGGCCAGAAUGGCAAUGGAAGCUCUGGGAAGAAGCCGAACCCUUUCAACAGGGGACAGGUGAACCACGUUAAUGUGGAGGAGGUUGAAGAGCAGCCGGAUGCAGUAAUCGAUAAGUUUUUGGUUAAGUCAUUUACUGCACUCGUUCUUUUUGAUACUGGUGCAUCGCAUUCAUAUAUAUCAAGGGGAUUUGUGGAUAAGUAUAACUUGCCCACUAAGUUUCUUAGAACACCUAUGCUAGUAAGCUCACCAGGAGCGGAGUAUAUGGCCAGUUAA